CUGCCCUGGUUUCCUACUUUGCCCUCUGAUCCUGCUCAUCACCCAGGGUCACUGCCCCCCCCCCCUCCACACACGUGCGCCUCCCGCUCACAUGUUGUACUCCUCCUCCCACCUCCUGAGGUCCUCCCCUCCUCUUAUCUCUACUCACUCUUUUUCUCUCUCACUCUCACUCUCUCUCUCUCUUUCUCACGUUCAGAGGACAGGACCAGGACCAGGACACGCAUCCCUGACAACACAGCACCAGUAAACAUGUCGGACUCUGAAACCGCCGCUGCCCCCGUCGAGGCACCUGUCCCUGCUGCUUGUGCGAGCAUCAAGGCCGACCUGGAUAAGUGCGUGGCAGAGAACGGAGCCGACGGCUGCAAAGAUCUGAUGGAGGCGUUUGCUGCUUGUGUGAAGAGCUCCGCUGAGGGGACAUCAUGAGGAGUCGCCCUCCAUCCUCCAAUGUCCACCGCACUGAGUCCUCUAAGUUCCCAGCAUUCCCUUCUGCACAACAGCACUGGACCCAACAACGACAACGCCGAUGACGAUGAUGACUACAAUGAAGAACGAAGAGUGAUGAUGUGUUGACUCCCCCCGGCUCCCUCUGUUUAGGACCUUUGGUGUCCCUCGGUCUUCCCGUCAUUCCCCUUCCUCCCUCUGCGGCCGACACACAGUCCAUGAGGAAGUCCACAGGAAGUCGGACUGGGCUGAGAUGUAAAUUGUCGACUUGAUGAAUAUAAAUGGAAAUAAAGGUAUCAUGUAAUUGGUAUAAAACA
rnacentral:lncRNA from 1 species